GGAAUAGAUGCCUCCUCUGUGGACCAUGCAGCAGCUGGAGGUCCAAGCAGCCCAUCAGGUUCUGUAGGUUCUGCAGCAAUUGAACUGUCUGGUGUCUCUGCAGGUCAGACUCAUCUGGCUGG